rnacentral:rRNA from 1 species
GAUGAACGCUGGCGGCGUGCCUAAUACAUGCAAGUCGAGCGAACAGAUGAGAAGCUUGCUUCUCUGGUGUUAGCGGCGGACGGGUGAGUAACACGUGGGUAACCUACCUAUAAGACUGGGAUAACUCCGGGAAACCGGGGCUAAUACCGGAUAAUAUUUUGAACCGCAUGGUUCAAUAGUGAAAGACGGUUUCGGCUGUCACUUAUAGAUGGACCCGCGCCGUAUUAGCUAGUUGGUAAGGUAACGGCUUACCAAGGCGACGAUACGUAGCCGACCUGAGAGGGUGAUCGGCCACACUGGAACUGAGACACGGUCCAGACUCCUACGGGAGGCAGCAGUAGGGAAUCUUCCGCAAUGGGCGAAAGCCUGACGGAGCAACGCCGCGUGAGUGAUGAAGGUCUCCGGAUCGUAAAACUCUGUUGUUAGGGAAGAACAAAUUUGUUAGUAACUGAACAAGUCUUGACGGUACCUAACCAGAAAGCCACGGCUAACUACGUGCCAGCCGCCGCGGUAA